GAUGAACGCUGGCGGCGUGCCUAAUACAUGCAAGUCGAGCGAACAGACGAGGAGCUUGCGCCCCUGACGUUAGCGGCGGACGGGUGAGUAACACGUGGAUCACCAACCUAUAAUACUGGGAUAACAUCGGGAAACAGCAGAUAAUAACGGAUAACAUGAUGAACCGGAUGGAUCAACAGUGAAUGACGGUCUUGCUGUCACUUAUAGAUGGUUCCGCGCCGCAUUAGCUAGUUGGUAAGGUAACGGCUUACCAAGGCAACGAUGCGUAGCCGACCUGAGAGGGUGAUCGGCCACACUGGAACUGAGACACGGUCCAGACUCCUACGGGAGGCAGCAGUAGGGAAUCUUCCGCAAUGGGCGAAAGCCUGACGCAGCAACGCCGCGUGAGUGAAGAAGGCCUUCGGAUCGUAAAGCUCUGUUAUUAGGAAAGAACAGAUGUAGAAGUAACUCUCGACGUCUUGACGGUACCUAAUCAGAAAGCCACGGCUAACUACGUG
rnacentral:rRNA from 1 species